rnacentral:lncRNA from 1 species
CACUAGAGGUUGUAGUGUACUCGCAAAUAUCCUCCUCUCUCUCUCAGGGCGCAAGUGAGUGAAAGGCUCGCGGUGCGAUGAUAGUCACUGGUUGAAAGCGAACAGCUGUCUUCCCGUUCCCACUGUGCAUCGAUGUCGACCGGCAGAUGGAAAAGGUAUAGAAGUUAUAGAGACCAAUAAUAGGGGAUUCGAUACGGCGAUCGAUCGGUCAAGUCCCGCCAGGGGGAUAGUCCCGCCAAGGAAGAUACAUCAACGCAUAUCCAUCGCAACAGUUCUGUCAUCUGAGGAUAGCGCAAGAGGUCAAUCUUCUAUUUCUGAAGAGGGGAAAAGGGCAGUGAACAUUGAAGAAAGAAAGCUGAAACUUGACAACUGCCUCAGCCCCCUGUGACACACAGAACAUUUCUGGCUGAAGCUGAAGCCAAGUUGGGUGUGUAAGGGGUCUACUGAGUAGCACAGAGGCAGAAGCAUAAAGGUAAGACUGGGAUGCUAAUACAUCACUCUGCUUUUCAACAGGUCUAAAGAACAUACACAGCUUCC